GACGAACGCUGGCGGCGUGCCUAAUACAUGCCAGUUGAGCGAUGAAGAUUGGUGCUUGCACCAAUUUGAAGAGCAGCGAACGGGUGAGUAACGCGUGGGGAAUCUGCCUUUGAGCGGGGGACAACAUUUGGAAACGAAUGCUAAUACCGCAUAACAACUUUAAACAUAAGUUUUAAGUUUGAAAGAUGCAAUUGCAUCACUCAAAGAUGAUCCCGCGUUGUAUUAGCUAGUUGGUGAGGUAAAGGCUCACCAAGGCGAUGAUACAUAGCCGACCUGGGAGGGUGAUCGGCCACAUUGGGACAGAGACACGGCCCAAACUCCUACGGGAGGCAGCAGUAGGGAAUCUUUGGCAAUGGAGGAAAGGCUGAACGAGCAACGCCGCGUGAGUGAAGAAGGUUGUCGGAUCGUAAAACUCUGUUGGUAGAGAAGAAAGUUGGUGAGAGUGGAAAGCUCAUCAAGUGACGGUAACUACCCAGAAAGGGACGGCUAACUACGUG
rnacentral:rRNA from 1 species